GCUUGUUUCAGUUAGGUUACAAGGACCAAAGAGUGCAAAAGGUAUUGGUCGUGUUGAAGUAUUCCACAAUGGCCAAUGGGGAACGAUCUGUAAUAAUGAAUGGGAUAUGAGAGAUACUAGGGUUGUAUGUCGUCAACUGGGUUAUCAAUAUGCCGUCAGACAUUUUCAUUGGAGGCAGGAUCUUCCUGGUUCUGAGCGUAUAUGGUUGGACGACGUUGCUUGCAAUGGAAGAGAGCGAAAUAUAACAAGUUGCUCUCACAAUGGAUGGGGAAAUCAUAGUUGCGUGCAUUCGCAAGACGUUGGAAUUGAAUGCACUAACACAGCUUCAAAUGUGUCGGUGAGAUUACAAGGGCCUUCAAGU